UCUAUAGCUCAGUUGGUAGAGCAACAGAUUCGUAACCUGUAGGUCGGGAGUUCGAUUCUCCCUA
rnacentral:tRNA from 1 species